rnacentral:rRNA from 1 species
CCUACGGGAGGCAGCAGUGGGGAAUAUUGGACAAUGGGCGAAAGCCUGAUCCAGCAAUGCCGCGUGAGUGAUGAAGGCCUUAGGGUUGUAAAGCUCUUUUACCCGGGAUGAUAAUGACAGUACCGGGAGAAUAAGCUCCGGCUAACUCCGUGCCAGCAGCCGCGGUAAUACGGAGGGAGCUAGCGUUGUUCGGAAUUACUGGGCGUAAAGCGUACGUAGGCGGCUAUUCAAGUCAGAGGUGAAAGCCUGGAGCUCAACUCCAGAACUGCCUUUGAAACUAGAUGGCUAGAAUCACGGAGAGGUGAGUGGAAUUCCGAGUGUAGAGGUGAAAUUCGUAGAUAUUCGGAAGAACACCAGUGGCGAAGGCGGCUCACUGGACGUGUAUUGACGCUGAGGUACGAAAGCGUGGGGAGCAAACAGGAUUAGAUACCCUGGUAGUCCACGCCGUAAACGAUGAUAACUAGCUGCCAGGGCUCUUAGAGCUUUGGUGGCGCAGCUAACGCAUUAAGUUAUCCGCCUGGGGAGUACGGUCGCAAGAUUAAAACUCAAAAUGAAAUUGACGGCGNGAGAGNGACCGAACGGACGACGACGAGGGAGGUAGG